rnacentral:rRNA from 1 species
UACGUAGGGAGCGAGCGUUAUCCGGAAUGAUUGGGCGUAAAGGGUGCGUAGGCGGCAUUAUAAGUUAGUGGUAAAAUAUUGGGGCUUCACCUCACUACGCCAUUAAUACUGUAGAGCUAGAGAACAGACGAGGUAGGCGGAAUAAGUUAAGUAGCGGUGAAAUGCAUAGAUAUAACUUAGAACACCGAUAGCGAAGGCAGCUUACCAGACUGCGACUGACGCUGAAGCACGAGAGCAUGGGUAGCGAACAGG